rnacentral:rRNA from 1 species
AUUGAACGCUGGCGGAAUGCUUUACACAUGCAAGUCGAACGGCAGCACGGGGGCAACCCUGGUGGCGAGUGGCGAACGGGUGAGUAAUACAUCGGAACGUGCCCAGUCGUGGGGGAUAACGUAGCGAAAGGUACGCUAAUACCGCAUACGAUCUACGGAUGAAAGCGGGGGACCGUAAGGCAUCGCGCGAUUGGAGCGGCCGAUGUCAGAUUAGGUAGUUGGUGAGGUAAAGGCUCACCAAGCCGACGAUCUGUAGCGGGUCUGAGAGGACGGCCAGCCAGAAUGGGACUGAGACACCGCCCAGACACCUAGGGGAGGCAACAGUGGGGAAUUUUGGACAAGGGGCGGAAGCGGGAUCCAGUCAUUCCGGGUGGAGGACGAGGGCCUUCGGGUUGUAAACUGCUUUGGUACGGAACGAAAAGGAUCUGGUUAAUACCUGGGGCUCAUGACGGUACCGUAAGAAUAAGCACCGGCUAACUACGUGCCAGCCGCCGCCGCCG